rnacentral:rRNA from 1 species
AUUGAACGCUGGCGGCAUGCUUUACACAUGCAAGUCGAACGGCAGCACAGCAGAGCUUGCUCUGUGGGUGGCGAGUGGCGGACGGGUGAGGAAUACGUGGGAAUCUGCCCAGUCGUGGGGGAUAACGUAGGGAAACUUACGCUAAUACCGCAUGCGCCCUUCGGGGGAAAGCCGGGGACCUUCGGGCCUGGCGCGAUUGGAUGAGCCCACGUCGGAUUAGCUAGUUGGCGGGGUAAAGGCCCACCAAGGCGACGAUCCGUAGCUGGUCUGAGAGGAUGAUCAGCCACACUGGAACUGAGACACGGUCCAGACUCCUACGGGAGGCAGCAGUAGGGAAUAUUGCGCAAUGGGCGAAAGCCUGACGCAGCGACGCAGCGUGAGGGACGACGGCCUUGGUUGUAAACCUCUUUCUAGCGGGGACGAAGCGAAAGUGACGGUACCCGCAGAAGAAGCACCGGCUAACUAACGUGCCAGCAGCCGCGGUAAU